rnacentral:rRNA from 1 species
GAUGAACGCUAGCGGCAGGCUUAAUACAUGCAAGUCGAGGGGUAUAAAGUAGCUUGCUAUUUUAGAGACCGGCAAACGGGUGCGGAACACGUACACAAUCUAACCCUUAUCUGGGGGAUAGCCCAUAGAAAUGUGGAUUAAUACCCCAUAGUAUUACGGAGUGGCAUCAUUUUGUAAUUAAAGAAUUUCGGAUAAGGAUGAGUGUGCGUCUGAUUAGGUAGUUGGCGGGGUAACGGCCCACCAAGCCGACGAUCAGUAGCUGAUGUGAGAGCAUGAUCAGCCACACGGGCACUGAGACACGGGCCCGACUCCUACGGGAGGCAGCAGUAAGGAAUAUUGGUCAAUGGACGGAAGUCUGAACCAGCCAUGCCGCGUGAAGGACGAAGGCGUUCUGCGUUGUAAACUUCUUUAUUCAGAGAAGAAACCACCGAUUUCUAUUGUGUUGACGGUAUCUGAUGAAUAAGCACCGGCUAACUCCGUGCCAGCAGCCGCGGUAAU